rnacentral:rRNA from 1 species
UCGAACGAUCUCUUCGGAGAUAGUGGCGCACGGGUGCGUAACGCGUGGGAAUCUGCCCUUGGGUUCGGAAUAACAUCGGGAAACUGAUGCUAAUACCGGAUGAUGACGUAAGUCCAAAGAUUUAUCGCCCAGGGAUGAGCCCGCGUAGGAUUAGCUAGUUGGUGAGGUAAAGGCUCACCAAGGCGACGAUCCUUAGCUGGUCUGAGAGGAUGAUCAGCCACACUGGGACUGAGACACGGCCCAGACUCCUACGGGAGGCAGCAGUAGGGAAUAUUGGACAAUGGGCGAAAGCCUGAUCCAGCAAUGCCGCGUGAGUGAUGAAGGCCUUAGGGUUGUAAAGCUCUUUUACCCGGGAUGAUAAUGACAGUACCGGGAGAAUAAGCCCCGGCUAACUCCGUGCCAGCAGCCGCGGUAAUACGGAGGGGGCUAGCGUUGUUCGGAAUUACUGGGCGUAAAGCGCACGUAGGCGGCGAUUUAAGUCAGAGGUGAAAGCCCGGGGCUCAACCCCGGAACUGCCUUUGAGACUGGAUUGCUUGAACAUCGGAGAGGUGAGUGGAAUUCCGAGUGUAGAGGUGAAAUUCGUAGAUAUUCGGAAGACACCAGUGGCGAAGGCGGCUCACUGGACGAU